GUGGGGAAUAUUGGGCAAUGGGCGAAAGCCUGACCCAGCAACGCCGCGUGAAGGAAGAAGGUUUUCGGAUCGUAAACUUCUAUCCUUGGUGAAGAUAAUGACGGUAGCCAAGAAGGAAGCCCCGGCUAACUACGUGCCAGCAGCCGCGGUAAUACGUAGGGGGCAAGCGUUGUCCGGAAUGAUUGGGCGUAAAGGGCGCGUAGGCGGCCUGGUAAGUCUGGAGUGAAAGUCCUGCUUUUAAGGUGGGAAUUGCUUUGGAUACUGUCGGGCUUGAGUGCAGGAGAGGUAAGCGGAAUUCCCGGUGUAGCGGUGAAAUGCGUAGAGAUCGGGAGGAACACCAGUGGCGAAGGCGGCUUACUGGACUGUAACUGACGCUGAGGCGCGAAAGUGUGGGGAGCGAACAGGAUUAGAUACCCUAGUAGUCC
rnacentral:rRNA from 1 species